UCGGUAAGGCACCCUAUCGCUGCUAUAAAUUGUAGGAGAGGAAAGUCCGGGCAAGGUAGGGCACCACGCUAUCUAACAGAUAGAUACCUGCGAAGGUAUGUCAGCGUAACAGAAAACAACCGCCUAGUUUGGACAUAUUUCCUUUUACUGGGUAAGGGUGAAAAGGUGGGGUAAGAGCCCACCGGCAACUAUGACAACAUAGUUGGCCGUACGUGCCGUGGCUUGCAAGACCGCGUAUAUCGGCGUCUAAGGGUUGCCCGCCCAAUGCCGAGGGGUAGGUAGCUUGAGCUAAAUGGUAACAUUUAGCCUAGAUAAAUGAUAGGGCUCGACAGCACCCGGCUUAUAGCCUUACCGAUUUU
rnacentral:RNase_P_RNA from 1 species